UAGGGAAUCUUCGGCAAUGGACGAAAGUCUGACCGAGCAACGCCGCGUGAGUGAAGAAGGUUUUCGGAUCGUAAAACUCUGUUGUUAGAGAAGAACAAGGACGUUAGUAAUUGAACGUCCCCUGACGGUAUCUAACCAGAAAGCCACGGCUAACUACGUGCCAGCAGCCGCGGUAAUACGUAGGUGGCAAGCGUUGUCCGGAUUUAUUGGGCGUAAAGCGAGCGCAGGCGGUUUCUUAAGUCUGAUGUGAAAGCCCCCGGCUCAACCGGGGAGGGUCAUUGGAAACUGGGAGACUUGAGUGCAGAAGAGGAGAGUGGAAUUCCAUGUGUAGCGGUGAAAUGCGUAGAUAUAUGGAGGAACACCAGUGGCGAAGGCGGCUCUCUGGUCUGUAACUGACGCUGAGGCUCGAAAGCGUGGGGAGCAAACAGG
rnacentral:rRNA from 1 species